rnacentral:rRNA from 1 species
GAUGAACGCUGGCGGCGCAUUUAAGACAUGCAAGUCGAACGGAAAUAUAUGAAGUGUUUACACUGAAUAUAUUUUAGUGGCGGACGGGUGAGUAACACGUAGGUAACCUGCCUCGAAGAGGGAAAUAACUAAGAGAAAUUUUAGCUAAUGUCCCAUAAGACCACACUAUGGCAUCAUAGAGUGAUCAAAGGAGUAAUCCGCUUUGAGAUGGACCUGCGGCUGAUUAGUUAGUUGGAGUGGUAAAGGCACACCAAGACAAUGAUCAGUAGCCGAGCUGAGAGGCUGGCCGGCCACAUUGGGACUGAGACACGGCCCAGACUCCUACGGGAGGCAGCAGUUGGGAAUAUUGGACAAUGGAGGAAACUCUGAUCCAGUGACGCCGCGUGAAGGAAGAAGGUCUUCGGAUUGUAAACUUAUUUUGUCAGGGAAGAAACAAAUGACAGUACCUGAAGAAGAAGGACCGCAAACUACGUGCCAGCAGCCGCGGUAAAA